CUGAGAUACGGUCCAGACUCCGUAAACGGUGAGGCAGCUAGGUGUGGGCAAUAUUGCACGUUGUCCGUGCCGACAGCCUGAUGCAUUAAGUGACGCCGCGUGAGGGAGUGACGGCCUUCAGGGUUGUAAACCUCAAUGGAAUUGACGGGGGCCCGCAGAAGCGGCGGAGCAUGAUGGCUUACCUUCAGACGCAAGCGCCGAAGCUAACCUUACCAAGUGCUUGACAUGCACGCGGUAAUACGUCUGGCGACAGGCGCCCCCUUGUGGUCGGAAUGUAUUGGUGCGUGCAUGAGCUCGUCGUCGGCUCGUGUCACGUGCGAUGUUGUGUUAAGUCCCGCAACGAGCGCUUAACCCCUUGUCUGCCGUCGUUGCGGGCAGGCCCUAGUGUUCGGUAGCUGGGAGACUCACGGGAGAUUCCUGGUGUAGCGGUGAACUGCGGAGGAUAGGUCAGGAGGAACGACCGGUGGCGAAAGUCGGGAUCUCUGGGCCUUAUGUCUUGGGCUGCACACGUGCUACAAUGGCCGGUACAAUGAGCUGCGAUACCGUGAGGUGGAGCGAAUCUCAAAAAGCCGGUCUCAGUUCGGAUUGGGGUCUGCAACUCGACCCCAUGAAGUCGGAGUCGCUAGUAAUCGCAGAUCAGCAUUGCUGCGGUGAAUACGUUCCCGGGCCUUGUACACACCGCCCGUCACGUCACGAAAGUCGGUAACACCCGAAGCCGGUGGCCAGAGCCCCAUUGUGGGUAGGGAGCUGAUUGAUAGGAGACAGUGCUCGACGCGAAAA
rnacentral:rRNA from 1 species